GGGGGAUAAGCUUCAUUGUCAAAAGGGAAACAGCCCAGAUCACCAGUUAAGGCCCCUAAAUAAUUGCUAAGUGGUAAAGGAUGUGUUUGGACGUAGACAACCAGGAGGUUUGAUUAGAAGCAGCAAUUUUCCUUUAAAAAGUGCGUAAUAGCUUACUGGUCAAGUCCAUUCGCGCCGAUAAUGUUUGGGGCUAAGCAAUUUGCCGAAACUGUGGGUAUAACGGUAGAAGAGCGUUCUGUUAAGAUUGAAGUAAAUAUGUAAGUAUUUAUGGACUUUACAGAAGUGAGAAUGUCGGCUUAAGUAACGAAAACAUUGGUGAGAAUCCAAUGCUCCGUAAACCUAAAGGUUCCUUUGCAAGGUUCGUCCACAAAGGGUUAGUCAGGUCCUAAAAUGAAAUUGAAAAGUUUAGUUGAUGGCAAACAGGUUAAUAUUCCUGUACUACAAAACGUUAUGUUAAGAAGGACGAAAAAGGCUUAUGCUAGCCGAGUUUUGGUUUUCGGUUUAAAUUUUUAAGGCUAUGACGAAUAUAAUUAAAAAAUAUUCUGAGUUGAAAAAUGAGUAGUUUUUUGUUAAGGCAAGAAAUUAGCAGAUGUCACGUUUCCUAGAAAAGUUCUUGUAACGAGUUAACGUUUUGUACCUGUACUUGAAACUGACACAGGUAGGUGGGUAGAGAAUACCAAGGAGCGCGAGAUAACUCUUUUUAAGGAACUCGGCAAAAUGGCUUUGUAUCUUCGGUAGAAAAAGUGCCUUACUUAAACAGUAAGGUUGCAGUGAUCAGAUUCAAACGACUGCUUAUCAAAAGCACAGGUCUCCGCAAAGUUGAAAAACCAUGUAUGGGGGCUGACGCCUGCCCAGUGCCGGAAGGUGAAGGAAACUUGUUAGUUUUUUACAAAGCUUGUGACUUAAGCCCCCGGUGAACGGCGGCAGUAACUAUAACUGUCCUAAGGUAGCGAAAUUCCUUGUCGGGUAAGUUCCGACCUGCACGAAAGGCGUAACGAUUUGAAUACUGUCUCAAAAAGAGACUCGGUGAAAUAGAAUUAACCGUGAAGAUGCGGUUAACUUGCACUUGGACAGAAAGACCCUAUGAAGCUUUACUGUAGUUUGAAAUUGAGUUUGGAUUUUCCUUGCGCAGAAUAGGUGGGAGGCUAUGAAGGGUUUUUUUCGGAAGAUCUUGAGCCAGAAGGUGAGAUACCACUCUUGGGAAAUUAAAACUCUAAUUGCAUUUCUUUAUUUGAAUGUUUGACAGUUUUAGAUGGGCAGUUUUACUGGGGCGGUAGCCUCCUAAAAAGUAACGGAGGCGUACAAAGGUUUCCUCAAACUGGACGGAAAUUAGUUUUAGAGUGUAAAGACAUAAGGAAGCUUAACUGUUAGACUUACAAGUCAAUCAGGGACGAAAGUCGGUCUUAGUGAUCCGACGUUACUUAAUGGAAAGGACGUCGCUCAACGGAUAAAAGUUACUCUAGGGAUAACAGGCUGAUCUUCCCCAAGAGUUCACAUCGACGGGGAGGUUUGGCACCUCGAUGUCGGCUCAUCGCAACCUGGAGCGGUAGUACGUUCCAAGGGUUGGGCUGUUCGCCCAUGAAAGCGGUACGUGAGCUGGGUUCAGAACGUCGAGAGACAGUUCGGUCCAUAUCCGGUGUAAGCGUUAGAAUAUUGAAAGGAGCUUUUUUUAGUACGAGAGGACCGAAAAAGACACAUCACUAGUAUAUCAGUUCUUGUGCCAACAGGAAACGCUGAGUAGCUACAUGUGGAGUGGAUAACUGCUGAAAAAGCAUUUUUU
rnacentral:rRNA from 1 species